UGGGCUGAUUCUGGAUUCGACGGGAUUUGCGAAACCCAAGGUGCAUGCCGAGGGGCGGUUGGCCUCGUAAAAAGCCGCAAAAAAAUAGUCGCAAACGACGAAACCUACGCUUUAGCAGCUUAAUAACCUGCUUAGAGCCCUCUCUCCCUAGCCUCCGCUCUUAGGACGGGGAUCAAGAGAGGUCAAACCCAAAAGAGAUCGCGCGGAUGCCCUGCCUGGGGUUGAAGCGUUAAAACGAAUCAGGCUAGUCUGGUAGUGGCGUGUCCGUCCGCAGGUGCCAGGCGAAUGUAAAGACUGACUAAGCAUGUAGUACCGAGGAUGUAGGAAUUUCGGACGCGGGUUCAACUCCCGCCAGCUCCACCA
rnacentral:tmRNA from 1 species